UACGUAGGGUGCAAGCGUUAAUCGGAAUUACUGGGCGUAAAGCGUGCGCAGGUGGCUUUGCAAGACAGAUGUGAAAUCCCCGGGCUUAACCUGGGAACUGCAUUUGUGACUGCAUGGCUAGAGUGUGGCAGAGGGGGAUGGAAUUCCGCGUGUAGCAGUGAAAUGCGUAGAUAUGCGGAGGAACACCGAUGGCGAAGGCAAUCCCCUGGGCCUGCACUGACACUCAUGCACGAAAGCGUGGGGAACAAACAGG
rnacentral:rRNA from 1 species